rnacentral:tRNA from 1 species
GGGGUUGUGGCUCAGUGGUAGAGCGCUCGCCUUGCAAGCACAAGGCCCUGGGUUCAAUCCUCAGCACCA